GACUGGCCCAAUGGUAGUAGGUUAUCAGAACUAAUUAAUAUUUAGCGUCACUAACAUUGGUAUACAAGCCCCCACUACUAAAUUUGACUGGCUUUAA
ensembl:misc_RNA Y_RNA Y RNA